rnacentral:rRNA from 1 species
UACGUAGGGUGCGAGCGUUGUCCGGAAUUACUGGGCGUAAAGAGCUCGUAGGUGGUUUGUCGCGUUGUCCGUGAAAACUCACAACUCAAUUGUGGGCGUGCGGGCGAUACGGGCAGACUGGAGUACUGCAGGGGAGACUGGAAUUCCUGGUGUAGCGGUGGAAUGCGCAGAUAUCAGGAGGAACACCGGUGGCGAAGGCGGGUCUCUGG